AUUGAACGCUGGCGGCACGCCUUACACAUGCAAGUCGAACGGUAACAGGUUAAGCUGACGAGUGGCGAACGGGUGAGUAAUGUAUCGGAACGUGCCCAGUCGUGGGGGAUAACUGCUCGAAAGAGCAGCUAAUACCGCAUACGACCUGAGGGUGAAAGCGGGGGAUCGCAAGACCUCGCGCGAUUGGAGCGGCCGAUAUCAGAUUAGGUAGUUGGUGAGGUAAAGGCUCACCAAGCCGACGAUCUGUAGCUGGUCUGAGAGGACGACCAGCCACACUGGGACUGAGACACGGCCCAGACUCCUACGGGAGGCAGCAGUGGGGAAUUUUGGACAAUGGGCGCAAGCCUGAUCCAGCCAUGCCGCGUGCGGGAAGAAGGCCUUCGGGUUGUAAACCGCUUUUGUCAGGGAAGAAAAGGUUCUGGCUAAUACCUGGGACUCAUGACGGUACCUGAAGAAUAAGCACCGGCUAACUACGUG
rnacentral:rRNA from 1 species